CCUUCCGGUCCUAGAAUCUAUGAAUCUAUGAAUAAACAAAGCAGAAACAGAACCAGAGCCAGUGUCCAAGUCCAGGCCAUUACCCCCUGCUGUGAAUCUCACAAUUGUUGGCUCACAGGAAAUCGGCAAAGCUUUUCAUCAAACUUCAUCUGCGAGGAUUUCCAAUCUAACACUCAUUUGGGCAAGGGACAAAUGGAAGACAGAUUUCAAAACACACUAUGGACAUUUUAACUGUCUGAUAUGCCAUUGGAGCUAACUAAUAGUCCCCUGACCUUGCAAUCCUUCAUCAGUGAUGUAUUUGGGGACAGUGUCAUCUAGUCAGGUGACAUACUCCUCUUUUUGGAAAACCCAGAGCAGUACACACACCUCAUCCGAACCUGGAGAUGUUUCGGCAGUGUGGUCUCAACACAGAAUUGGAAAAGCGUACCUCCAGCCAACUCUCCACAGAGUUUUUGGGGUACAUCCUCUCCCCAGAAGGUGUUCCGAUUGAUGCAAAUAAGGUGGAAGCCAUUCAUAAAUGGGACAAAGUUUGAAGUCCUCAAGAAGAGCAGCGCUUCCUAGACUUCACCAGCUUUACUGCUGCAUCGGCCCAGGGUUCUCAGAGCCAGUAACCCCCACGAGAGCUCUCCUCCACAAAAUGGCCGCAUUCGUUUGGUCAUCCAAGUUCCAUCAAGCCCGCAAACAGCCCAGAAUUGCCUUCACCACUGCAUCUAUUCUGACGCACAGCAUUCAUCGUGGAAGUAGACACAUCUACUUUGAGUACCAGGGCCUGCUUUAUUUGGUGUUGCCAGAUGUGGGCCGAAAUUCAGACUUAGCUUGACUCACGUGACUUCUGCGCUUUCACCAAGGCACCACGCACCUAACUUCUUGGCAUCUCAGGCCUCUGGAGACCCUGCUCCAUCCAUGGCAGCCAUUGCCAGGAAUUUCACUCAUUCAAAUGGCCACAUGAUGGAACUGACUCUCAUAGAUCACCUGACCAAGAUGGCGUGCUUCAUCCCUCUGUGCACGAGUACCUUCGGCUGAGAGGACAGAUCAGCUCCAAAUUUCCAAAGGCCAAUGACACCUUUGUUUUGCUAACUAUAGAUUUCCCACUGAUUUCAUGCCACACUACUAAUGGCCUCUCCGAACUUCCCAGUUAUUGACCUGGGUCAACAACUCCAUGAUAUUCAAGAAGAAUGAAGGGAGCCCCUCGAGGACACUAGGAAGGACUCAGAUAUUAUACAGACUGCUGAUGACAAGAGGGAAGCCAUUUGCUGAAGGGAGGUACCAAGUCCCUGGCACUGACCCAAUCCCUAUGCCCCGUCUGUUGGAGCAGUUCCUGACCCAUCCCCCUUGGCUGACCUUCUGAUCCCAUCCUCGUCCCCUGGCUCUGUGGAGCAAACUCUGGGUCCCUUCCCUCACUCUGGCACAAUCCGUGCCCAGAGGGACCAAGCCCCUCACAGACAGUGGGACUGUCCUUCCUCCUCCUGCUUGUGGGGGGGUCUACUACCUCCAUUUUACAGACAGGGAAUGAAGGUGAUGAAGUGACCUCUCCAAAGUCACACCUGGAAAUGUGGAGGAGAUCUGGGAACUGGACUGGGUUAUACAGGAGUGCCCUCCCAACAGAGGCAGCUUCACUUUCUGCCCUUCAUUCUCUCCUCCCCUCGUGGCCCGUCUUCGAUGGGGAUCUCUGAACUGGAAAUGAGCAGGGGCUUCCUCCCCCUCUGACUUCCAAUGUCUGGGAUCUGUCCCUAGCAACGCAGCCUGCAGCUGGCCAGCUUGGGGAGCCAUCGCCUCACCCUGUGAAAUCCAGACGUGCUGGCUCUCAGUGAUGCUUCGACGGAAAACCACGCACCCCACACAGAGCUUGGAACCAGCCAUUCCCAGGUUGUUCUGAGGAGCCAGGAUUCCUCCAGGAGCUGGGGAAGGGCACAGUGAGCAGUCUGUCAGAGGAUUCCAGCCGGCUGUUCCAAUCCAGGAUGAAAACUCUGCCACUGAAACCUCACAGCCCCUGUGCAGUGAAGUGCCACUUAAACCCGCUGUGAUGCACAGAGCUUGCCCUGGCUGUCCGCACAGGACUGAAUUUCACCCCUUCAGAGUGUAUUCUGAGGGCACCCCAUGCUUCAUAUGGGCAUUCUUGGGUGGGCAGAUUGCAUCAGACCUGCACCCGAAUAAAUAAUAGUGAAUGAAAUAUGCAGACACUAAAGUUCUGCAGCCAAAUUCUCAGAAACCUUCCUCCUGAAUGUAGGAUCAGGAUUUUGUUUCUAAUUGAUUUUUUUUUAAAGUGCUAAGCAGCUACUACACUGUAAUAAGAGGAAACAGAAGCAAAAACUGAAAGGAUGUUACUUAAAC